UGAUUCUGGCUUAGCUUAGUGGCGGACGGGUGAGUAACACGUGAGCAACCUGCCUCUCAGAGGGGGAUAACGUUUGGAAACGAACGCUAAUACCGCAUAACAUAUCGAGGCCGCAUGGCUUUGGUAUCAAAGGAGCAAUCCGCUGAGAGAUGGGCUCGCGUCCGAUUAGAUAGUUGGCGGGAUAACAGCCCACCAAGUCGACGAUCGGUAGCCGGACUGAGAGGUUGAUCGGCCACAUUGGGACUGAGACACGGCCCAGACUCC
rnacentral:rRNA from 1 species